GCAAAAGCAAGUCCUCUUCCGGGCAAAAUGGCGAUGGGACUAAUGUGCGGACGCCGGGAGCUUCUGCGCUUGCUACAGUCCGGGCGUCGGGUCCACAGCGUCGCAGGGCCCUCGCAAUGGCUUGGGAAACCGCUGACCACACGGCUCCUAUUCCCAGUAGCCCCGUGCUGCUGUCGCCCACACUACCUCUUCCUUGCGGCUUCCGGCCCCCGCAGCCUCAGUACCUCUGCCAUCUCGUUUGCAGAAGUCCAGGUUCAGGCCCCUCCUGUUGUUGCUGCAACUCCCUCACCCACAGCAGUACCUGAGGUGGCUUCUGGAGAGACUGCAGAUGUAGUCCAAACUGCUGCAGAGCAGAGCUUCGCUGAACUGGGGCUGGGGUCAUACACCCCAGUGGGGCUGAUCCAGAAUUUACUGGAAUUUAUGCAUGUCGAUCUGGGCCUACCUUGGUGGGGGGCCAUUGCUGCAUGUAAGGGGAAUAUACCCUGGACAUGGGUUAGGGAUUUAACCUCAUAGAUGGCAAUUCUUUGAAUGGAUUCAGGAAGUAGUUGCAGAAGCUCUGGGGUCAGAAGAGCAGAUGAUUUCAAAUGAGCGAUAGAGGUUCAUCAUACCUAGAUGCACUCUGCCUAUAUUUCUUAAAGAGCAUUAUAAAACCACCAGAUCAUCUGGGAUUCAAGAAGUAUAGAUAUUUGAAUACAAACAUGGGGUUAGAGUCAGGGGACCUUAUUAACAGUCAUGAAGCUAUCCUGGUUUAGAACAGAGGUUCAGGUCAGGCACUUAAACCCCUAAAUUGGGAAGCCACUAGCAUUGCUUUUGUAAAGGCUAAAACUCUGCUUUGAAUUAUGUGUCUUUCUGCCACGUUGCUCCAUCAAUUAUCUUUUCUCCCCUGUGUCUUCAGCGUUUCCCUCCUCACUGCCCUACCCUGAACAUGUAAACAUGCUCAGGCACACCCAUGUGUUACCUGGGGGAAGGUUUCUUCCCUUCAUCCUUAGUUCCCCUUCACUUACUACCCUAUCUUCUUCCUUUGAUGGCUGUUAUUUAUUUUGUUGUUGUUAAUUUUUGUGAAUACCUAGUAGGUGUAUAUAUUUAUGGGCUACAUGAGAUGUUUUGAUAGAGGCAUGCAAGGUGUAAUAAUCACAUUAUGGAGAAUGAGAUAUCCAUCCCCUUAAGCAUUUAUCCUUUAAGUUACAAACAAUCCAAUUACACUUUUAUUUUAUUUUUUAUUUU
rnacentral:sRNA from 1 species